ensembl:rRNA 5S_rRNA 5S ribosomal RNA
ACCUAUGACCAUACCACCCAGAUUUCGGAAGUUAAGCAGGGCAGGGCCUGACCAGUACUUGAAUGGGAGACUGCCUGAAAACACCAGGUACUGUUGGCU